GACCCAGUAGCGAAAUACAUCGCGCCUGCAUUCUAUGUGGAAGCUAUCGACAGGGUAUUAGAUGCGGGAGGUCCCUGUUCGAAUCAGGGCUGGGUCA